GACGAACGCUGGCGGCGUGCCUAAUACAUGCAAGUCGAACGCAGUGGGGACGGGUGAGUAACACGUGGGUGACCUCCCAUCAGAGGGGAUAACACUUGGAAACAGGUGCUAAACCGAUACUGAUGGAUGGACUCGCGGUGGAUUAGCUAGUUGUUGAGGUAACGGCUCACCAAGGCCACGAUCCCUAGCCGACCUGAGAGGAUGAUCGGCCACACUGGGACUUAGACACGGCCCAGACUCCUACGGGAGGCAGCAGGAGGGAAUAUUGGGCAAUGGGCGAAAGUCUGACCGAGCAACGCCGCGUGAGUGAAGAAGGUUUUCGGAUCGUAAAACUCUGUCGUUCGAGAAGCGGUAUCUAACCAGAAAGCAACGGCUAACUACGUGCCAGCAGCCGCGGUAAUAC
rnacentral:rRNA from 1 species